GAUGAACGCUGGCGGCAGGCUUAACACAUGCAAGUCGAGCGGAGAGAAGUAGCUUGCUACUGAUCUUAGCGGCGGACGGGUGAGUAAUGCUUAGGGAUCUGCCUAUUAGUGGGGGACAACAUUUCGAAAGGAAUGCUAAUACCGCAUACGUCCUACGGGAGAAAGCAGGGGAUCUUCGGACCUUGCGCUAAUAGAUGAGCCUAAGUCGGAUUAGCUAGUUGGUGGGGUAAAGGCCUACCAAGGCGACGAUCUGUAGCGGGUCUGAGAGGAUGAUCCGCCACACUGGGACUGAGACACGGCCCAGACUCCUACGGGAGGCAGCAGUGGGGAAUAUUGGACAAUGGGCGGAAGCCUGAUCCAGCCAUGCCGCGUGUGUGAAGAAGGCCUUAUGGUUGUAAAGCACUUUAAGCGAGGAGGAGGCUACUUUAGUUAAUACCUAGAGAUAGUGGACGUUACUCGCAGAAUAAGCACCGGCUAACUCUGUGCCAGCAGCCGCCGUAAUAC
rnacentral:rRNA from 1 species